AUGAAUGGAGACCAGCUUAGGACAGGAAUAACUUCCUUGCAUCUGACAUACCCAUACCCUCCAUGGCAGGGAUGGACACCACAGGACAAAUCCAGCAGAGUCUGCAUUCUGUGGUAUGGAAGUAAGGAGAUGGAACUGGAUGAAGUGUGGUCUUCCUUGGUGACAUUUCAAAGCAGCAGAGACAUCCUUACAUCUAACAUCUUGUCUCUUUGUGAAUCCUACCAACAAAUUUCAAAACUAAGAAAAAUACAGAUGCAGGUCAGAUAUAUCUACAAGGACAUGAAUGGUCAUCAAAAUCUGGAAUGUGUAGAAAAAUCACAAUUACAGACAAACUGAGAUCAAUAAUUGAAUUAACAGCAGAAGGGAUAAAAUCUUAUUAUGGCACAUAAUGGAAAAAGAAGAAAAAGAGUGAGGGUUGCUCACUCUGGUCUCAGAGCUGGUUGGGAGUGAACCAAGAGAAAUCAGACAAGGUUUUCUUGAAUCAUCGACUGCUUUGGCAGAAUUUCUUUUGAAGGCCUUUGGCUGUACCCACAGAUGUACUUUCUUAAAUAUUAAAAAGGAACCUGUUUCCCAUGGUAGAGUUGAAGUGAUCUCUUGUACUCUCUAUUUCACAGUAUCAAAGGGCGGCAAAUGAGAUUUUUUUUUCUUGGAAGGUGAACUACACAAGGAUAAAAUCAAGUCCAGCUAUUUCUACCACUUAUAUCACUGAAAUAUGGAAACAGCAUCAAAGUUCCUACGCAAACACUAAACUUUGAGAAACAUAACAUGUGAGACCAGAGUUAAGGUUCAUUGUACAUUUCUCCCAUGCCCACCAGUUUAUUUUCAUUAAGCUUACUUUCAAUUUCAUUUUGAGGAAAAAAAAGAAAAAAAAAAACAUUAAAUCAGGUAGGUUGAACCUAGUUCUUAGACAGAUAAAAGUAUAUAGAGAGGCGAAUUUUUAACCUGGAAGUGAAGUGGCCUAUACUUUCCAAAUAUAUCCCUCACAUCCGGUCUCCUGAACAACACUACUAAUAGACGUGUUUUGUUUUGUUUUUGAAUGGAUCUAUAAAUCUUCCAAUGAGUGAAUGCUAGAAGAAGGUUAAGUAAUAAGAUGGCUGCUCUGAGGAAAAGACCUUGAGACACAGUCAAUGCACGAAUGAAGUGUAAAGGAUGAAGCACACCUCAGGCUAGAGAUGCCAAGAUUCUUAAGCAGGUGUUCUGUGAAAUCAUAAAAGUAGGAAGGCUUUGGACAGGGAGAGAGAGUGACCUGCAAGGAAAAAGAAAUGAAGAGAGAAACCUACAGAAAAAUCAGAGAAACUGUCAAGGGAAGAAGAAUGGGAACUAAUCUUCGUUGAUUUCCCUGUUAUGAACCUGACAUUACACCAGCCACUUGUCAUAUGCUAUCUCAUGUUGUAAUAAUAACAACACAAAUAACUGUUAGUGAAGAGUUUACUAUGUCCUAGGCACUAAGUUAAUAGCUUUACAUACUUCAUCUCACUGAAUCUUCCCAACUGCUCUCUUGCAUAUGAGGAAACAAUUUAGAGAGUAUAAUUUAUCCAGGGCCAUGCAAGAAGGAAAUGAAGCAGGCUCUGAUUCCAAAGUAGAUAUUUUCAUAGUGUCUUCCUAUGUGGCCAAGAGGCAGAGUUGCCUAUAAGAGAUGAGCCCUGAAAAUAGUGGAGACCACCAAAAACUCAUUAUGAAUUCUCUAAAACAAUGCAUACAUCAACAUAGAUAACAGUAUCUUAACAAUUUUUUUUUUGUGGCAAGUGGCAGUGACAUGCAUCUAUAUGCCUAUUUUAUCUGACAUAUGAAUGCCAACCCUCUUAAUAAAUUACAUUCCUAAUUUGCUUCCUGAAGGACC
ensembl:lncRNA